GACGAACGCUGGCGGCGUGCCUAAUACAUGCAAGUUGAGCGAUGAAGAUUGGUGCUUGCACCAAUUUGAAGAGCAGCGAACGGGUGAGUAACGCGUGGGGAAUCUGCCUUUGAGCGGGGGACAACAUUUGGAAACGAAUGCUAAUACCGCAUAACAACUUUAAACAUAAGUUUUAAGUUUGAAAGAUGCAAUUGCAUCACUCAAAGAUGAUCCCGCGUUGUAUUAGCUAGUUGGUGAGGUAAAGGCUCACCAAGGCGAUGAUACAUAGCCGACCUGAGAGGGUGAUCGGCCAAAUUGGGAAUGAGACACGGCCCAAACUCCUACGGGAGGCAGCAGUAGGGAAUCUUCGGCAAUGGACGAAAGUCUGACCGAGCAACGCCGCGUGAGUGAAGAAGGUUUUCGGAUCGUAAAACUCGGUUGGUAGAGAAGAACGUUGGUGAGAGUGGAAAGCUCAUCAAGUGACGGUAACUACACAGAAAGGGACGGCUAACUACGUG
rnacentral:rRNA from 1 species